rnacentral:rRNA from 1 species
CACGUAGGGGGCAAGCGUUGUCCGGAUUUAUUGGGCGUAAAGAGCUCGUAGGCGGCUCGGUAAGUCGGGUGUGAAAUUUCGAGGCUCAACCUCGAAACGCCACCCGAUACUGCUGUGGCUAGAGUCCGGUAGGGGAGCGUGGAAUUCCUGGUGUAGCGGUGAAAUGCGCAGAUAUCAGGAGGAACACCAGCGGCGAAGGCGGCGCUCUGGGCCGGUACUGACGCUGAGGAGCGAAGCGUGGGGAUCAAACAGG